rnacentral:lncRNA from 1 species
UGAUGUUUAAGCAAGAUUUAUUAACACAGGGAAAGAGUAGGGUAGUGGCAGACAACCCUAGCUUUGUGGCUUCCAGCAGUUCUUUUUCCUUCUGGUUACAUCAGCCUCAACCAUUCCUCCCUUACAUUCUAUAUUUGCAUUUUUAUUAGGCUGUGCCAUCCUCAAGCUUGGGAGUGGACCUGAGAUUGGCAAGAAAAUCAGCAUAUUUUAUCCUCCUCUUCGCCAUAGAGAUGGGUGCAGGGAUAGCCACAUGACCCACACCUAUUCAAUCAGAGCCUUUUGUUCUGGAAAAAAAAAAAAAAAAAAGUGAAAGAGGAGCUCGAUUUCCCUGCUCUAUUUAGUAAGCUGGCAAGUGCACAGCAAAUGCUCUUGAUGGUCAUCUUUUCCAUAUGAGGGAAGAGUUUCUGUAGGGUGAAGCCAAUGUAGAAGGACUUGAAGCCAAGGAGAUGGGGACCUACAGAGUCUUAAAGAUGUUGUUUGAGACUCUAGAUUCAGCCACACCAGAAGCCAGCUCCAUUUAGAUUUUUCCAUUUAGGUACAUAAUAAAUUAUCUUUGUGCUUAGACCAGCAUGAAUCGAAUUUCUUUCACUAACCCUGAUGGAUAUCAGGGUGGGCUAAGGAGCUAAGUAGUAUGGCACUGGGAAGAAGACAAGAAUGAACCUAGAAUUUUGGGGGACUGCAGCAGAGAUACUGAGAACCUUAUAGCAGGGGUGGUUUGGCAGGAGCAAUGUGAAAUGAAGUCUAUGAAUAGAUUUUUUGCCAGAUCUUGGACUGUUUGUUUCAGAAGGCCAAGAUGUUUGAAUUUUUUUCUUGAAGACAAAGACUGAAGAGGUACCUGAGCUGGGCUGGUGCAGCUUCAGCUUUUCAGAGAAUGCAAGUUAAUGUGGCAGCAAAUCUUUUACAGAGAACUGAUCAGAGAUCCCCCAAAAGUAAGGGGUGAGUUAGUCAUUGAUAUGGUUUGAAUCUGUGUCUCCACCCAAAUCUCAUGUCAAAUUGUAAUUCCCAGUAGUGGAGGUGGGGCCUGGUGGAAGGUGAUUGGAUCAAGGAGGUGGAUUUCUUGUGAAUGGUUUAGUACCAAUCCCUUGGUGCUGUUCUCAUGAUAGCGAGUGAGCUCUUGCAAGAUCUGGUCGUUUGAAAGUGGAGCAUCUUUCCCCUCACUCUCUCUCUCUCCUGCUUCUGCUUCUGCCAUGUAAGACGUGCCUGUUUCCCUUUCACCUUCUGCCAUGAUUGUAAGUUUCCUGAGUCCUCCUUGGAAGUCAAGCAGUUUCCAGCAUCAUGCUUCCUGUACAGCCUGCUGAACUGUGAGCCAAUUAAACUUCUUUUCUUUAUAAAUUACCCAGUCUCAAGUAUUUCUUUAUAGCAAUGUGAGAAUGGACUUAUACCGUCAUUGAUUGCUCUAGCUCUGCUGUUAGCAGUGCCCUAAUUGACAAAAUCUUGCACCAGGUGUUGCAACAAUGGCUUCAUCUCAGGCAACCUGUUAGAGGGGCUAUGGAGAUUUCUCUUUCCUUUGUAGAAAGCGAUUCAUAACAGGCUCUGUUUUGGGUGCUAAGGUCUGGUCUGUCCGGUUCGUUAAUUCUCAGCAGGGUGACUUCCCAUUUGUAACAUGCUUGCCUUGCACAGGACUUUUGACUUGAGUCCCAGCUUUUAAUAGCUUCUGCCUCAGCUCCCUCCAGUGUUCGGAUUCUGUUUCUCAAUAGCCAGGAAUAGUUAGGAAUGCUUUCACCUCAGCCUCCUGUCGGGCCUCAGAGUGAACCAGGUCAGAAACGACGUCUAUUUCUCUCCAUUAUCCCACAGAUAUCCGGAGCACGUUCUCACCCACAGGACUUCUCAGUCUGGAAAGACUUUUCCCAUGCAGUUUGUUAAUCCAAGCUGUGCCAUUGACUUGGACAAGUCACUUUGCUACCCUAAGCCUCUGAGUCCCCAUCAACAAAAUGGAACUAGCUGUUUUAUUAAAAAAAAUAAGUAAAUCUCGUUGACCAUCAGGGAGGUGACAAGUCACAGAGCUGAAACGAAGGUAGCUUGGAUUCCACUCCAUUCUGGGUUGGGAAGUUGGGUGCUUCCCACUGGGCAGUUCUUGAAGCUCCCUUCUCUGAAAGUGGGGAUGAAGACAUGGAUAAAGGUCCUUAAGACAUAAGAGCUCCUUCCAGUCUCGUGGGUCUUCUCGGCAGAACCCUUGCUUGGCUGGAAUUCCAUCCACUCUCUGCAAGGCAUAACUUCCUGUUUCCUAGGGAGAGGGCCUGCUCAGAUGUCACCCCAGAUCUCACCAAGCCACCCUUCUUGGUCCAAAAGUGCUCUACUGUGAAUGUAGUCUUGUAGGAGUCUUGAUGAUGAACUCCUCACCAUCCAUCCUCCCAUGGGCCUUGGGCUUCUGUCCCUUGGUCCUUUAUUUCAGGUGCCCCACAGAAUGGUGCUGAAUGGUUUGCAGGGAUGUGCUUCUCUUCUGUUCGCUUAAGACCUCAAACUGAAAAAAUAUGAGGGUGGGCGGUGACUCACUGUUAUAAUCCCAGCACUUUGGGAGGCCGAGGUGGGCGGAUCAUUUGACGUCAAGAGUUUGAGACCAGCCUGGCCAAAAUGGUGAAACCCAUUGUCUAUUAGAAAUACAAAAAUUAGUUGGGUGUGUUGGGACAUCCCUGUACUCCCAGCCUGGGAAGCUGAGGCAUGAUAAUCACUUGAACCCAGGAGGCAGAGGUUGCAGUGAGCCGAGAUUGUGCCACUGCACUCCAGCCUGGGUGACAGAGCAAGACUCUGUCUGA